CAGGACUCUUUGUCGCUUUUUACAGAUCCAGACUAACACGGCUACCCCUCUGAAAGUUAAUGUAAAUAUCUCAUGAUGUUCAAGAGUCAGGUGGUUCUUCCACUCUUGUGAAAUCUGUUAGGAGAAGUUCAAUUAGCUAUGGUGGUGGAGCAAUGUAGGCAUUGGGAACCUAACCCAGAAUUCCAGUCGGCAGCAGGAACUGUGGGAUAGCUGCCCACAAUGCAUCGCUCCCUGAUUCGAUGCUAGCCAUGGUAGUGAGGAUGCGCUCCGCUGACGGAAUGUGCAUAGUGGGGACAUGCAACAUCGACUUUGUAAAAUCGGAGGCUAAAU